rnacentral:rRNA from 1 species
AACGAACGCUGGCGGCAUGCCUAACACAUGCAAGUCGAACGAAGUCUUCGGACUUAGUGGCGCACGGGUGCGUAACGCGUGGGAAUCUGCCCUUGGGUGCGGAAUAACUUCUCGAAAGGGAUGCUAAUACCGCAUAAUGUCGUAAGACCAAAGAUUUAUCGCCCAAGGAUGAGCCCGCGUAAGAUUAGCUAGUUGGUGGGGUAAAAGCCUACCAAGGCGACGAUCUUUAGCUGGUCUGAGAGGAUGAUCAGCCACACUGGGACUGAGACACGGCCCAGACUCCUACGGGAGGCAGCAGUGGGGAAUAUUGGACAAUGGGCGAAAGCCUGAUCCAGCAAUGCCGCGUGAGUGAUGAAGGCCCUAGGGUUGUAAAGCUCUUUUACCAGGGAUGAUAAUGACAGUACCUGGAGAAUAAGCU